GACGUAGGGCGCGAGCGUUGUCCGGUUUUAUUGGGCGUAUAGAGCUCGUAGGCGGUGUGUCACGUCGGCCGUGCAAACCUGCAGCUUAACUGUGGGCGUGCGGUCGAUACGGGCAUCACUGGAGUUCGGCAGGGGAGACUGGAAUUCCUGGUGUAGCGGUGAAAUGCGCAGAUAUCGGGAGGAACACCAAUGGCGAAAGCAGGUAACUGGACUAUUACUGACACUCAGCUGCGAAAGCUAGGGGAGCAAACAGG
rnacentral:rRNA from 1 species